AUACAUCUCCAAUGGAUACAAAAGUAAUUUAACACCUAUUUUUUAAAAUGGCAGACUAAUAGUCUUAAAUAAAACCUAUAUUUUUACAUUUUCGUUCCCAUUUUAUCCUCCUCUUCACCUGAAUCGUUCUCUUUCAAUCUACCUUUGUAUCAUCAGUUUCUUCACCCUUCACCUGAAUUCGUACCGAGAAGUCUGUAUUGAAGUUUGAUCUUUCACAUUCCCUCACCUGCCCUUCAAUUGAAUGCUGCGACUCAAUCGCUGCCUUUAAUUAGUCGCCUCAAUCCACCUCUUCUUAUUCAUAAACAACGCUUCUUCCUGUCAUUAUGCGGAUUUGGAUUUUCAAUUCCGCGUGAAGGAGACGGCAAUCGAUUCAUUCAAAUCCCCAGUUUCUCUUCGGUAACAAAAUUCAACAAACAAUUGGCAAUCGUCGGUGUGCUUCUCGGUAGCUCGUUCAAAGGAACCGUCGAUGUCACUAAUAGUUACGCAGGUUUGGUUUUUGAUCGAUUCGGUUUUUGUUUUGCGUGUGUUCUAGGGUUUGUUUGGAUCUGAGGUGGUAAAUUUAGUUAUUGUAGAUUGUUUUUGGUGACGUGACAGUUUAAUUUUGUGUUUGUUUGUGGUUAUAGAUUGUUCAUGAUAAGAUAUGUGGUCUAGGCUUUAUAAUUGUGACAGAUGUGACGGUUGAAUUGUUGUGAUUGUUCAGAAUUAUAGAUUGUUUAUGCUAAAGAUGUGUAUUCUAGGGUUUAUAUAAUCAUGACAUAUAUGACGGUUGAAUUGUUUUGGUUAUUGAGGAUUGUAGAUUGUUUAUGCUAACGAUGUAUUCUAGGGUUUAUAAAUUAUAAUCAUGACAGAUAUGACGGUUGAAUUUUUGUGCUUGUUCGUUGAAUCGAAGUUCUACAGGGAAAUGGAAUUUGCUUCAAAUGCCACUGGCUUUGUUCCCAUGGUUCAAUGGCCUCUUUUUCUUCUAGCCAGCAAGAUAUUCGUUGAUGCAACAUUUGGCGGCAGAGAGUGACUCACAAAUACAAUUGUGGGAAAGGAUUUCGAGAGACGAUCACAUGAAAUAUGCAGUUGAAGAGUGUUUUACACCAUCAAGCUGAUUUUGACCUCAAUUUUUGACAAUGAUGGCAAAGAGUGGGUUAAUAGAAUAUAUGAUGAAAUUCGAGGAAGUAUAGUGAAAGGAGCAACUGUCUCUUGUUACUCAGAAAGUGUUUGGAUCCGAAAUUUGUUGUGGUAUAACUGGUGGAUGAAUCUAUAUUUAUCAUUUUUGUUGUGAUUUAAAUUAUUGAAUAGUUGAACAUGUGCGGUUGUGUGUUUGUUGAUUAGUGAUGAACGAUAAUGAUUUGUGUUGGUUUGGAAGUUUCUUUAUGAUUUUAAACCUAUUUUUUGUGGUUCUUUUUCAUAUGGUCCAAUUUCUUUUUUCCAGCAUUGUUCAACCAUCACUAUGAUUUUUUGUCUUUUAGGAUUCAGUAUGUGAGAGUGUAUGUUGUGUGUCAGCAGCCUAUUCGAAAUUGUUGCAUAUCGGGUAUAUUUUUGGGCAAAAGUCACGGGACCCAUAUAUUCUCGGACGAAAUCCGUUCGGGGGAGGACUCAAUACGUAUAAAAUUUUCGGACGUGAUAUGCGUAAAAUUUCUAACCUUCGCACCUGAUUUUUUGCCCAAGUCUCAUAAAUCGAGCUCCAAUUUUCAUUUUCAAAUCCUUUAUUUGAGAUGAGGAAUUGAUGAGGAAUAAGUUCCUGGGGAAGAAGAAGCAAUUGGUGCAUUACAAUUAUUCCUUCUUUACAUCAAUGAAUUUCUCUUAAAGAUCGGUGAUCCUGCAACUACAAUGAAGUGCUACUCUUUAUUUUGGCAAGAUGUGGCAUCUAUAUAACCAUUUGGAAAAUGUACAUAUUAGGUGAUGGCGCACUUAACUCUCGCUCUGCUCCCUCAAGUCUACGAAUUGUGCUCCUCGCCGUCGCAACACUUGAGGUACUGUAGCGCAAAGAAAAAAAAAGAUGAGUAUAUUUUAACAAGAGAUGGGAAGUUCCAUCCGCUUACUUAUGAAUGAGGAUAUUUCGCAUCUUUGACAGGCUAAAAGAGUUAUUAGGUCAACCCAACAUAGUGCAACUAUGUUUUGACUUACACCCAGAUUCAAAGAAAUGGAAAAACAUAUGGACCGCUUGCGUUUUCUUGAUCCCUCUGCAAUGCGCUGGUAAACCCACUAUAUAUAUUUACGUAUGGGGUGGGCCUAGGCUACCCAGUGUUGUCUGCGAUCGCAGGCGUAUGGGGCUGCCUUUUGCCACUGGGUUACCUCAGGUAGCCGUGCUUUUAUUCGUUGGUCGUCUAAAAAACAACCAAUUUAGUCUUUUGAAGCUUGAAUCUUAAUGUAAGCAACACGAGCUUUACGAGUAUUUGUUGAUCAGGUUUACAAACCAUUAUCAUUUUUUUAUAUGGUUUUGGCACAAUUAGCACAACAAAGAACCCAAUAUAUGUGCAGUCUUAUACUCUUUCUGUAGAAGCCCGGCGAAAGACGGUGCAAGGUUGGUAACAACCUACAAAGAACAAGUUGAGGUGGAAAUUUCAACCUAUUCACCAAAAAUGGGUCCAUUCAACUUAUAUUUUUCAAACUUUGCUCUGUAUUAACUUCUAUUAUUUUUUUAAAUAGAGAUUGUAGAUGGUAAGUGCUGGUGGUAUGUUGGUGAUAUGUUCAUGUCUUGCAUUAUUUACUCCGCCGCAACGCGCGGGUCUCCCACUAGUACUAUAUAUAAGC